rnacentral:rRNA from 1 species
UGGCGACGAGAUGGCGAACGGGUGAGUAAUAUAUCGGAACGUGCCCAGGAGUGGGGGAUAGCCCGGCGAAAGCCGGAUUAAUACCGCAUACGCCCUAAGGGGGAAAGUGGGGGACCGCAAGGCCUCACGCUCAUGGAGCGGCCGAUAUCUGAUUAGCUAGUUGGUGGGGUAAAAGCCUACCAAGGCGACGAUCAGUAGCUGGUCUGAGAGGACGAUCAGCCACACUGGGACUGAGACACGGCCCAGACUCCUACGGGAGGCAGCAGUGGGGAAUUUUGGACAAUGGGGGCAACCCUGAUCCAGCAAUGCCGCGUGAGUGAAGAAGGCCUUCGGGUUGUAAAGCUCUUUUGUCCGGGAAGAAAUCCCUUGGGAUAAUACCCCAGGGGGAUGACGGUACUGGAAGAAUAAGCACCGGCUAACUACGUGCCAGCAGCCGCGGUAAUACGUAGGGUGCAAGCGUUAAUCGGAAUUACUGGGCGUAAAGCGUGCGCAGGCGGUUGUGCAAGACCGAUGUGAAAUCCCCGGGCUUAACCUGGGAAUGGCAUUGGUGACUGCACAGCUAGAGUGUGUCAGAGGGGGGUAGAAUUCCACGUGUAGCAGUGAAAUGCGUAGAGAUGUGGAGGAACACCGAUGGCGAAGGCAGCCCCCUGGGAUAACACUGACGCUCAUGCAC